CAGCACCUCAAGUGGUCAGGAUGAUUAUUGGGCCUAAAGCAUCCGUAGCCGGCGCUGUAAUUUUGCGGUUAAAUCUGUAUGCUCAACAGACAGGCUGCUGGGAAUACUGCAGAGCUAGGGAGUGGGAGAGGUAGACGGUACUCGGUAGGAAGGGGUAAAAUCCUUUGAUCUAUUGAUGACCACCUGUGGCGAAGGCGGUCUACCAGAACACGUCCGACGGUGAGGGAUGAAAGCUGGGGGAGCAAACCGGAUUAGAGACCCGAGUAGUCC
rnacentral:rRNA from 1 species